CUCUCUUCUCACUUUACUACAAGAGCUCCUUCUCUGGAAACUGAAACUUGUGUGGUUUUCUGGAGUGCUUGUGUGGAGAGGAUGGAGGUAGAUGGUGGCUAUUUAUAGGAGGAAGAGGGGGCAGGGCGGGCGCCCUUGGUAGGUGGGCGGGCGCCCACUUACAGUGCACAUCCAGGCUGCCCUUUCUCCACUCCUUUCUCUGCUUAAUUCUCACGCAAAAUAAUGGAUCAUGGGUGGUGGUUGGCCGGUGGAAAAGUGCUGGUUAGUGGAGAUAUGUUGGUGGAUGAAAUAAUGUGAUGGGAUGUAUGUGAGGUGUGGUGUAUGACAUGUGGGACCCAAGGAGUGUG
rnacentral:lncRNA from 1 species